CGGUUCGCCGCCGACGACGUCGCGAGAAGUUCACUGAACCUUAUCAUUUAGAGGAAGGAGAAGUCGUAACAAGGUUUCCGUAGGUGAACCUGCGGAAGGAUCAUUGUCGAAACCUGCCCAGCAGAGCGACCCGUGAACACGUUCAACCUCGUGGGUGUGGGGGCGUUGUCGGAGCCUCGUGCGCCGGCUCGUCCCUCUCCCAAGCCGGGGGAGCGCUCACUUGUGGGCUGUUUCCUCGGCAAAACAACGAACCCCGGCGCGUAAUGCGUCAAGGUAUACAAACUUUAUGUGCGCACUCUCCCGUUGCCCGGUUAGCCGGGCGUGGGAGCGGURCCAUGUCUUAACAAUAAACGACUCUCGGCAACGGAUAUCUCGGCUCUCGCAUCGAUGAAGAACGUAGCGAAAUGCGAUACUUGGUGUGAAUUGCAGAAUCCCGUGAACCAUCGAGUUUUUGAACGCAAGUUGCGCCCGAGGCCUUUGGCUGAGGGCACGUCUGCCUGGGCGUCACGCAUCGCGUCUCCCCCUAAUCCACCCCGAGUGGAGGGGAAGGAUGAUGGUCUCCCGCGGCUCACCGGUCGCGGCUGGCCUAAAAUUGGAGCCCUCGGCAUCGGGAUGCCGCGGCGAUAGGUGGUGAACAAGGCCUCGGCCAAGCAAGCAGCCCGUCGUGCGUCCCCCUGNCAACGUGUGCUCGAAGGACCCUUUGACGUUGCCUAACGGCAACCAAACCGUUGCGACCCCAGGUCAGGCGGGGCUACCCGCUGAAUUUAAGCAUAUCAAUAAGCGGA
rnacentral:rRNA from 1 species